rnacentral:misc_RNA from 1 species
AGGAUCAAGCUAGAGGGAGGACUUGCAAAGAAAAAGGAGGACAGACCUACAGAGAGGAAGAAGUGAGCUUGAGAGGAAGGGAGGGGUCUCUGCUUCUCUGCGUCUACAUCUGCGUGUGCUUCUCUAGGUCUAAGUCUAUGUGAAAGGAAAAAGGAGGGGAGCUUUAAAGAAAAACUAGGGCUUUUAUACACAGGGCAGGCAAAACGACACAAUAUGCAUAUAAACGUUCGGUCAGUUUGGUUAGUUUUUUUCCUAAACUAAGUGGACUGAUCCAAAAAACUGACAAUUUUUUAAAAUUAUAACUGAAACUGAAUCAGUAGACUUAAAAACCAAAUGAGAUUGAUUUAGUUUAAUUUUUUGGUUAAAACAGUCAACGCUCAACCCUGCUAGGACUCUAAGGUGCUUCAUAACUCUUUU